UACGAAGGGGGGCUAGCGUUGCUCGGAAUCACUGGGCGUAAAGCGCACGUAGGCGGAUUGCUAAGUCAGGGGUGAAAUCCUGGAGCUCAACUCCAGAACUGCCUUUGAUACUGAAGAUCUUGAGUUCGGGAGAGGUGAGUGGAACUGCGAGUGUAGAGGUGAAAUUCGUAGAUAUUCGCAAGAACACCAGUGGCGAAGGCGGCUCACUGGCCCGAUACUGACGCUGAGGCACGAAAGCGUGGGGAGCAAACAGG
rnacentral:rRNA from 1 species